AGAGUUUGAUCCUGGCUCAGAUUGAACGCUGGCGGAAUGCUUUACACAUGCAAGUCGAACGAUGAACCUUAGCUUGCUAAGGGGAUUAGUGGCGAACGGGUGAGUAAUAUAUCGGAACGUGCCUUGUAAUGGGGGAUAACUAGUCGAAAGAUUAGCUAAUACCGCAUACGCCCUGAGGGGGAAAGUAGGGGAUCUUCGGACCUUACGUUAUAAGAGCGGCCGAUAUCUGAUUAGCUAGUUGGUGGGGUAAUGGCCUACCAAGGCGACGAUCAGUAGCUGGUCUGAGAGGACGACCAGCCACACUGGAACUGAGACACGGUCCAGACUCCUACGGGAGGCAGCAGUGGGGAAUUUUGGACAAUGGGCGCAAGCCUGAUCCAGCCAUUCCGCGUGAGUGAAGAAGGCCUUCGGGUUGUAAAGCUCUUUCGCAAGGGAAGAAAACUUACUUUCUAAUAAAGAGUGAGGCUGACGGUACCUUGAUAAGAAGCACCGGCUAACUACGUGCCAGCAGCCGCGGUAAUACGUAGGGUGCGAGCGUUAAUCGGAAUUACUGGGCGUAAAGCGUGCGCAGGCGGUUUGGCAAGUCAGAUGUGAAAUCCCUGAGCUCAACUUGGGAACUGCGUUUGAAACUGCCAGACUAGAAUAUGUCAGAGGGGGGUAGAAUUCCACGUGUAGCAGUGAAAUGCGUAGAGAUGUGGAGGAAUACCAAUGGCGAAGGCAGCCCCCUGGGAUAAUAUUGACGCUCAUGCACGAAAGCGUGGGGAGCAAACAGGAUUAGAUACCCUGGUAGUCCACGCCCUAAA
rnacentral:rRNA from 1 species